rnacentral:rRNA from 1 species
ACGUUGGGCGCUAGGUGUGGGGCCUAUUCCAUGGGUUCCGUGCCGCAGCUAACGCAUUAAGCGCCCCGCCUGGGGAGUACGGCCGCAAGGCUAAAACUCAAAGGAAUUGACGGGGGCCCGCACAAGCGGCGGAGCAUGCGGAUUAAUUCGAUGCAACGCGAAGAACCUUACCUGGGUUUGACAUACACCGGAAAGCUGUAGAGAUAUGGCCCCUUUUGUCGGUGUACAGGUGGUGCAUGGCUGUCGUCAG